CAUCAUAUUGAAACACUAGUUCCCAUAUGAACACCAAAGUUAAGCAACAUUGAGCCUGGUCAAUACCUAGAUUGGUGACUGCUUGGUAAUACCAGGUGCUGUAAU